rnacentral:tRNA from 1 species
GGGGGUGUCGUUCAACGGUAGGACUCUGGUCUCCAAAACCAGGUAUCCAGGUUCAAAUCCUGGCGCCCCCGCAA